rnacentral:rRNA from 1 species
GACGAAGGGGGCUAGCGUUGUUCGGAAUUACUGGGCGUAAAGCGCGUGUAGGCGGUUGGCCAAGUCGGGUGUGAAAGCCUUGAGCUCAACUCAAGAAAUGCACUCGGUACUGGGUGACUAGAGGACCGGAGAGGAUAGUGGAAUUCCCAGUGUAGUGGUGAAAUACGUAGAGAUUGGGAAGUACACCAGUGGCGAAGGCGGCUAUCUGGACGGUUUCUGACGCUAAGACGCGAAAGCGUGGGGAGCAAACAGG